rnacentral:rRNA from 1 species
UACAUAGGGUGCAAGCGUUGUCCGGAUUUAUUGGGCGUAAAGAGUUCGUAGGCGGUUUUUCGCGUCGGAUGUGAAAAACUCAGGGCUCAACCCUGAGCCUGCAUUCGAUACGGGAAGACUCGAGGACGGCAGGGGAGACUGGAGCUUCGUGGUGUAGCGGUGGAAUGCGCAGAUAUCAGGAGGAACACCAAUGGCGAAGGCAGGUCUCUGGGCCAAUACUGACACUGAGGAGCGAAAGCGUGGGGAGCGAACAGG